UACAGAGGUCUCAAGCGUUGUUCGGAUUCAUUGGGCGUAAAGGGUGUGUAGGUGGCGCGCUAAGUCGGGUGUGAAAUUUCGGAGCUUAACUCCGAAACUGCAUUCGAUACUGGCGUGCUUGAGGACUGGAGAGGAGACUGGAAUUUACGGUGUAGCAGUGAAAUGCGUAGAUAUCAGGAGGAAUACCGAUGGCGAAGGCAGGUCUCUGGGCUGACACUGACGCUCAUGCACGAAAGCGUGGGGAGCAAACGGG
rnacentral:rRNA from 1 species